rnacentral:rRNA from 1 species
CUACGGGAGGCAGCAGUGGGGAAUAUUGGACAAUGGGGGCAACCCUGAUCCAGCCAUGCCGCGUGAGGGACGAAGGUCUUCGGAUUGUAAACCUCUUUCAGCAGGGACGAAGCGAAAGUGACUGUACCUGCAGAAGAAGCACCGGCUAACUACGUGCCAGCAGCCGCGGUAAUACGUAGGGUGCAAGCGUUGUCCGGAUUUAUUGGGCGUAAAGAGCUCGUAGGCGGUCUGUCGCGUCGGAUGUGAAAACCCAAUGGCUUAACCUUGGGCCUGCAUUCGAUACGGGCAGACUAGAGUGUGGUAGGGGAAACUGGAACUCCUGGUGUAGCGGUGGAAUGCGCAGAUAUCAGGAAGAACACCGAUGGCGAAGGCAGGUUUCUGGGCCAUAACUGACGCUGAGGAGCGAAAGCGUGGGGAGCAAACAGGAUUAGAAACCCUAGUAGUCC